CCUACGGGGGGCAGCAGUAGGGAAUCUUUCACAAUGGGCGAAAGCCUGAUGGAGCAACGCCGCGUGCAGGAUGAAGGCCUUCGGGUUGUAAACUGCUUUUAUAAGCGAGAAAUAUGAUGGUAACUUAUGAAUAAGGAUCGGCUAACUACGUGCCAGCAGCCGCGGUCAUACGUAGGAUCCGAGCAUUAUCCGGAGUGACUGGGUGUAAAGAGUUGCGUAAGUGGCAUAAUAAGUAGCUAGUGAAAUCUGGUGGCUCAACCAUUCAGACUAUUAGCUAAACUGUUAAGCUCGAGACCGUUAGGGGUAACUGGAAUUUCUAGUGUAGGAGUGAAAUCCGUAGAUAUUAGAAGGAACACCAAUAGCGUAGGCAGGUUGCUGGGACGGUUCUGACACUAAGGCACGAAAGCGUAGGGAGCAAACGGGAUUAGAUACCCGUGUAGUC
rnacentral:rRNA from 1 species